rnacentral:rRNA from 1 species
AGAGUUUGAUCAUGGCUCAGGACUAACGCUGGCGGCGUGCUUCAUACAUGCAAGUCGAACGAUGAGGCCCCUUCGGGGGUACAUCAGUGGCGGACGGGUGAGUAACGCGUAGAUAAUCUACCCUUAGCUGGGGGAUAACACCGGGAAACCGGUGCUAAUACCGCAUAAGUGCCAGGCUGCAAUGCCUGUCAUUAAAGUUC